AGUUUUAAAAUUAAGCGGCACAAUACAUUAAUAUCUCUGCCGUUACAUGUUUGACUUCAAAUAUUUCUAAAACUAAUGACUUUAUCGUUAAGAGUGCAAAGUAUCUUAUUUACAUAGAGAGUAUUGAAAAGAAUAAAAAAAUUAUGGGAUAAUAAUAGAUGGGAUAUGCUUCUGACGGAUGUGAGAUUCAGGUUAAGACGUGCACUAGGUGGUGAUACAACAUAAAGUGUGUAGUGGUUGGUGCGACAUGUUGUUUCGGAGUAUCACCAGUGAAUGUCGCCAAACGAAAAAGAGUUUUGGCGAAUGUCGAAAAUAAGCAGUUGUAACUAGUUUUUGAUGGUUUAUGGAUGGCCUGUUUUAUUUCUUGUUGUCUCCAGUCUUUCUAAACUUUCUAGACGCCUAUGUAAAUACUUUUCAAAAAAAUGCGAUUGGAACAGAUCAGCAAACUAGCACGCUCACACCUCAAGUCAAGCACCGACUGUUUCGCAGUAUAGCACUUCUACAUCUGAAGAGAUAACCGUUUCGCAGCCCAGCACGUCUUCAUUUCAAGUACCUACUGACUGAACAGCACGAACAAAUUUCUUCAAAGCGAGCAGCUGCAAAAAAUAAUCUUUUACUUCAAGCAAUACAAAUUUUGCCAACCUCAGAAAAAAGUUCCCUCCGGCCCAAAUAGGCAAUACUGUCAGAAUUAAAGUUCCCGAUGUUAAACGUGGUCGCACAUACCCACGAAAUGUGUUAGCUGUUGAUGUUGAAAUAGAGGAUUCAGACUAAUGGUACCCUCAAGCAGCUUUUCACACGUAAUUAGUACGCAAUUAUUAAAGAAAAAUUGCUUUCCAUAGAUAAGAUUAUAACUGAUGAAAUGUCGCUAAGAGAAGCAACUUGUGCUAAUUCAAAAAAUGAAGGACAAGGCUAUACACGUUGUAACUGCGAAAGAAAGUGUUCGUCGGCUAAAUGUAGUUGUGAAGGCAAGGUGAUUUUGUGCAAUUCGAAGUGUGAUGAUAGUAAUAAGAUUGAAAGUGAUUUUUGUUUUUUUAAAUUAUAUA
rnacentral:lncRNA from 1 species